rnacentral:rRNA from 1 species
CCCUUAGAUGUUCUGGGCUGCACGCGUGCUACAAUGGCGCUUGCAACAAGUCUUGUCAACCCGAUAGGGUGAGCGGAUCUUUGAAGAGGCGUCGUGAUCGGGACAGUUGAUUGCAAUUAUUCGACUCGAACGAGGAAUUCCUUGUAAUCGCGAUUCAUCAUAUCGCGCUGAAUACGUCCCUGCCCUUUGUACACACCGCCCGUCGCUCCUACCGAUUGAGCGAUCCGGUGAAUGUUUUGGACUGGCGUCAGAAGCGGUUCGCUCCUGACACUACGAAAUUUUGUAAACCUUAUCGCUUAGAGGAAGGAAAAGUCGUAACA